rnacentral:rRNA from 1 species
GAUGAACGCUGGCUACAGGCUUAACACAUGCAAGUCGAGGGGAGACGACGGGGAAGCUUGCUUCCCCGGGCGUCGACCGGCGCACGGGUGAGUAACGCGUAUCCAACCUGCCUCUGACUGAGGGAUAACCCGUCGAAAGUCGGCCUAAUACCUCAUGGCAUCGUCUGCGGGCAUCCAACGACGAUUAAAGAUUUCAUCGGUCAGGGAUGGGGAUGCGUCUGAUUAGCUUGUUGGCGGGGUAACGGCCCACCAAGGCUACGAUCAGUAGGGGUUCUGAGAGGAAGGUCCCCCACAUUGGAACUGAGACACGGUCCAAACUCCUACGGGAGGCAGCAGUGAGGAAUAUUGGUCAAUGGGCGGGAGCCUGAACCAGCCAAGUAGCGUGCAGGAUGACGGCCCUAUGGGUUGUAAACUGCUUUUAUGCGGGGAUAAAGUGAGGGACGUGUCCUUCAUUGCAGGUACCGCAUGAAUAAGAACCGGCUAAUUCCGUG